rnacentral:lncRNA from 1 species
GAGGCACAGAGAGGUGAAAUAAGGCCCCCAGAAUGCUCUUCUCCAAGACUUAGAAAAAUCAAAUGCUAUCCAUCCCUCAAGAUACAUCCCUCCAGCCCCUCCUUGAAGUCUCCUGCAGCUAGAAGUAGAAGUAGUAUCUAUCCCCAUCUGGACCCCUUAGCACUUUGCUGUACCUCCCUUAGUCCCCAUCUCUUUACACACACACACACACACACACACACACACACACACACAGAGUAUUAUAAUACUAUUACCUAUUAUAUUACAUUAUAUUAUUGUAGUUCUACAGGAACUACAAGGAAUUCUACUGUGAAUUCCUUAAGGGUGGGAUACAUUUUACAAUCAUCACUGUUUCUCUCAUUAGUUGUGGAAUCAAAAAAAUGAGUGCACG